GACGCUCUUGGGAAGCCACACAUAUCUAGACAUUCACUGAGUACUUACAAGUGCCCAGCACUGUGGCAGCCACCCAGAAAGUGACACUGAAGGAGCCCUGAUGUCUGCCUAUGGGGCCAUGGACCCACAAGGUGCACACUUCAGAGCCUGAGCAGAGGGGACAUGUCCCACAGAGAGAUCAUGGGUUAAAACAAGAAGUCAUGUGGCAAAAAGGAGCAGUCUUUGUUUUCCUGAAAAGCUAGCUCACUUGAGACCUAACUGGAGUCCUGGGAAUGGCACAUGGAUCUCUUCUGAAGACACCCCAGUGAUCUAACCGCGUUCCACCAGGUUCUAGAGCAGAUUGGCUGAACUACUCUACACAGAGGAUGCUGUUCCUCUCACAGCCAUAGGCUGACACAUAAGCAGCCCGAGCCAGGUGCAGGAUGCUGCCUCUCAAGCUGUGAGGCAGGGACGUCGGUCCCAGAGGAUCCCCAAGCAAUAGGAGCUAUUGCCAUUGUUCUUGGCUGUCCACCAGAGCUUGAGCAUCAGACCCUGUUGCUGAAGACUCCACAGAACUGGACACAGGAAAUGAAGACAUCAGUGGUAUUGACGGAGAAGCUCCCGCCUUGCUCGUUAGUUUUCAUACUAAUGGAAGGGGCUAUGUUGGCUGCUGGGGUGGGAGGGAGUAAAGAUCAGUGCUACCCAGCACUGUGGACACUGCAAGCUACAAUAAUGAUCGGAUUGACCAUAUGCCCACAGGAGUUGUCAUGGCACAGAUGUUAGGGGGUGUCGGGGAUAACCAACUGUUUUCUGAUUGGACUUAAGGUCUGCUUCACACAUGCCCAGUACUGUGAAGACAAGAACUCUUGUCUGGGAAGGUCAUAUACAUGGGAAAUGAACCUUCUGCUAUUAAAUUGAAAAAAAAAUGGACAUAGCAUAUAAAGAUGCACAUGCCUGUCCACACCCAUGUCCAGACUCCUAGAGGACAGCACCUCUCCGACUUCUGAGCUCUGUGGGUCUUCUGCACUACUCCAUGGAAGAUAGCUCACUCUGUCCCAGAAACAUGGCCAUGAGCCCCUUACAGAGACAAAUGAGUCUUCUUCGUGGGAACUCUUCACUGGAUCUCUGGAUUUGGUAAAGGUUGUUGGAACUUAAGAGACAAUGUCAGUCCUCAAGUUCCACCAAGGUUGUUAAUCUACUUAGGGGUGUUUUGUGAUGACUCUAUUGUGGGCUUUCCAUUAACUGCCCAAACUUCUGAGUCUGCCCCUACGGUUUGUCCAGACCUAGUUUCCUGCAGGGUGGCGAGGGUGAGACACACAGAACUAUCUCAUCCUCUCCCUGGAAGCACAAGUGCAUCCUUCCUAAGAGGACCAGGGACGGGGAAGGGUGAGUUCACGGACUUCCUCGGAGCCUCGUUCUCCUGCAGAUACAUGCAAUGGACGAGGUCAUCUGGUGUCGUCUCCAGGCUUAGGAAGGAAAGCCCCACAGCUUCCAGAACAGAUGGAGAAAAACACUGACUAUCUUCAGGCAGGGAGCUAGAGCAGACGCCAGGCUGAGGAGGCCUGGGUGAGACUUUAUUCAGGCUGCUCUUAGGCCUAAUGUCAUGGGAUGGGGGUGGGAGAGCAUUCAGUCACAAGGCUGGGAUUGGAGUAUUUAGCUUUGAAAGAACUAAAUCACAGAACAAGGACUACCGAAAAUUCAUCUUCCACUAACCUAUGAGCUCCUUCAAGUCAGAGCAAGUCAGAUUCACAUUUGUUCCCACUCCUUUGUAGGUUACCUGGCACUGAAAAGAUGCUCAAUAAAUAAAUAUAAAUAUAUACGGAAGGCAGAGAGAGGAUGCACUAAGUCCAGCCAUGCCAGUGAGCUGUCCAGGGGCUACAGGCCUUGCCCUCCCCAUGCCUGCUCUGUCUUCCUUGAAUACUUGGGAUGCUCCCUGGUUCCUCUCUUGGCCCUUCAGGUAGAAUUCCAGAGAAGAGAAUACUUCCUCUCCUGAUCUUUGGCAUCCCUAAGUCCACGUUGGCUCACCCCCUCCCCAGCAUUUGGUCACAUGAGUCGAGUCUCUGCUAGUCUCUGUUCAUUAGUAAGCAGAGUUACUUAGGAAAAAGACCUGAGCUUGUCUCUUAGGCUGAGUGACAGGUUUUCCAGCCAGAGGGGUCAGAAGGUCACAUAGCAAGUAACUGAGGUGAAGGUGAAGGGUGGAGAGGGAGGGAGGUGGGAGUGGAAGGCUGCCCCUGAGGAGGGUUGGCCGGUAGAUAAGCAAGGCAGGAAUGUACAGUCUGGGCUUUCAUGAGAGACUCCAUCAGCUAGAACAGGAUGGAGACACCACAACUUGGCUAGCAAGGGUUCAGGCCUCCAGCACAUGAGUCGAGGAUGACCCUCAGGGAUCUCGGAGGCCAGUGGUCCUGAAGAGUCCCCCUCAGUCUUUCUGAGUUCACAUAAAUGAUCAAAGAAAGCUUAAGAGGUACUCUCAGUAUUUUCAAAGACUUAAUGAAAUUCCCAUAUGGUAAGAUUGCAGAGGGUAAAAUUAAAAGGUUGCCUACCUUUGCCUUUGGCUAAGGUUUUAUCAGCAUGGCAUCCCCACAGAGAAAUAAAUUACCUGAUUAUAU
ensembl:lincRNA Gm1627 predicted gene 1627